UAGGGAAUCUUCCGCAAUGGACGCAAGUCUGACGGAGCAACGCCGCGUGAGUGAAGAAGGAUUUCGGUUCGUAAAACUCUGUUGUUAGAGAAGAACAGCGCAUAGAGUAACUGUUAUGCGUGUGACGGUAUCUAACCAGAAAGACACGGCUAACUACGUGCCAGCAGCCGCGGUAAUACGUAGGUGGCAAGCGUUGUCCGGAUUUAUUGGGCGUAAAGCGAGCGCAGGCGGUCAAUUAAGUCUGAUGUGAAAGCCCCCGGCUCAACCGGGGAGGGUCAGUGGAAACUGUUUAACUUGAGUGCAGAAGGGGAGAGUGGAAUUCCAUGUGUAGCGGUGAAAUGCGUAGAUAUAUGGAGGAACACCGGUGGCGAAAGAGGCUCUCUGGUCUGUAACUGACGCUGAGGCUCGAAAGCGUGGGGAGCGAACAGG
rnacentral:rRNA from 1 species